rnacentral:rRNA from 1 species
ACGAACGCUGGCGGCAUGCCUCACACCUGCAAGUCGAACGCGACCUUCGGGUCUAGUGGCGCACGGGUGCGUAACGCGUGGGAACCUGCCCUUAGGUUCGGAAUAACUCCCCGAAAGGGGUGCUAAUACCGGAUAAUGUCUUCGGACCAAAGAUUUAUCGCCUUUGGAUGGGCCCGCGUUGGAUUAGCUAGUUGGUAGGGUAAAAGCCUACCAAGGCGACGAUCCAUAGCUGGUCUGAGAGGAUGAUCAGCCACACUGGGACUGAGACACGGCCCAGACUCCUACGGGAGGCAGCAGUGGGGAAUAUUGGACAAUGGGCGAAAGCCUGAUCCAGCAAUGCCGCGUGAGUGAUGAAGGCCUUAGGGUUGUAAAGCUCUUUUACCCGGGAUGAUAAUGACAGUACCGGGAGAAUAAGCGCCGGCUAACUCCGUG